rnacentral:rRNA from 1 species
AUGACAAAUAUGGUUCGAUGGCUCUUCUCUACUAACCACAAGGAUAUUGGGACUCUCUAUUUCAUCUUCGGUGCCAUUGCAGGAGUGAUGGGCACAUGCUUCUCCGUACUGAUUCGUAUGGAAUUAGCCCGACCCGGCGAUCAAAUUCUUGGUGGGAAUCAUCAACUUUAUAAUGUUUUAAUAACGGCUCACGCUUUUUUAAUGAUCUUUUUUAUGGUUAUGCCGACGAUGAUAGGUGGAUUUGGUAAUUGGUUUGUUCCGAUUCUCAUAGGUGCACCUGACAUGGCAUUUCCAUGA